rnacentral:rRNA from 1 species
CAGUCGCCGCGGUAAUACGAAGGGGGCUAGCGUUGCUCGGAAUCACUGGGCGUAAAGGGUGCGUAGGCGGGUUUUUAAGUCAGAGGUGAAAUCCUGGAGCUCAACUCCAGAACUGCCUUUGAUACUGAAAGUCUUGAGUAUGGGAGAGGUGAGUGGAACUGCGAGUGUAGAGGUGAAAUUCGUAGAUAUUCGCAAGAACACCAGUGGCGAAGGCGGCUCACUGGCCCAUUACUGACGCUGAGGCACGAAAGCGUGGGGAGCAAACAGGAUUAGAUACCCGAGUAGUCCCUGUCUCUUAUAC